AUCUGUACAAAAAAAUAAAUGAAUAAAUAAGUAUUACAAAUUGAAUUCAGCACCUGUUCUUUGAGUGUUUAGUAGCUGGAGCUAUCUGGAAGAAAUUCAUGGCAUGGGUAUCCAAAGAAGUUUAUGGGGAUGGAGGGAAGAGCUGCAAUGGGCUGAAAGGCAUCACAUGGGAAGGAACAAAGCUAGUCAACUUUAUAGAGUCUCACUAGCAGUUGCAACUUACUAUGUAUGGCAAGAAAGGAUUGGUCGAUUUUUCGGAAGCAACAGAGAGCAAUUGAAAGCAUGGCUCAAACGUUGUGAAAAGAAAAACUAGAGGGCCUACCCGAUGCAUAAAAAUAAUCAACUUACAGGAGGGUGAAAAGUUGCCUGUAGAAUUUGAUGAUGAUGAUCAAGCUAUUAGCAAGAAUGCAACUCAAUUUAUUUGGUUUUUGGGGCAAACAGUUAGAAAUCGAAUUUGUUGCCCCUUAAAAGUAAGUGGUUGGAAAGAGAUUGAGGAAGAAAAGAUCGACCAUAUGUGGGACAUCAUCUUGGAAAAAUUUAAUUUCGAUGUUUCUGAGGGAAGAAAAGGCGCAAUUCUUGGUCAUAUGAGUGACAUCUACAGAGGCUAUAGGCACAAGAUGAAAAGCGGUAUUUCGAUUCGAAG